GAAAUGCGAUACGUAAUGUGAAUUGCAGAAUUCAGUGAAUCAUCGAAUCUUUGAACGCAAAUUGCGCUUUUGGGUCACCCUGAGAGCAUGCCUCGUUCAGUAUCGUUUCAACCCAUCUCUAAAGCUUUGCUUUGGGAAAAUGAGGUGUGAUUAAACUUUGUGUUUAAUCUCCCUUGAAUUGCAUCGAGUUUUCGAUCUUUUGUGUCCCCUCCUUUAUAGGGCUUUCUCAACUCAGUCUCAAUAGAGAUACUUGACCUCUGUGUCAUUACUUUUCUAUUGAAUCCGGCUGUUUCAAGAAAGAGUUGGCAUAGAGUCCUUCGAAUAAACUUUUAAACUUUGCUUGAUAGAGCAAAAACACCUAACGAUCUGAUCUGAACUGAGGUAGGAUUACCCGCUGAAC
rnacentral:misc_RNA from 1 species